AGAGGAGGGUUAUUUUUAAACCAUAAAACCAUGUGAAUGGGGGCCGGACUGAACAGCUCCAUUAUGCACAAGGUCAAACAGGACGAAGACUCUGUGACUUAUUCUUCUAUCAGGACUAAAAAUAAGACGGAGGUGAACAUCGACCCCAGCAGUCUCUGCAGCAGCAUCGCUAAGACAAAAUGAACCACAUAAGGAAAUAAAACGUCUCUUCACACCUCUGCCUUUAAUGGACCUUUUUCCAGGAAGUGAACCAUUGAGUUUAAGUGUCAGUGAUACUAAAGCAUUCAUUUAUAGCUGGUGCUGCACCGUUUGCUGUUGCAUUUUAAUGAGUGUAAAUACAAUCUGAGCAGAAAUAUACAGUUAGUGAGUUAUAUGAUAGAGCUUUGUUAUAACUGUGGACUGUAAAUAGGGAAACAAAGAGGUUCAACAUCAAUAUUCAGUAACUGGUUAAUUUAUGAACUUAUCAAAUGUAUUUUAUAUUUUAAUUUACCAUAAACUCAUCAUCAUUCUGUAAAAUACAACUUUCUGCCAACAAAGUAGAAACAAACUUAUAUCAUCUGAUCUUAGCCAGUUACUGGUUCAAGGUAGUGAGCUGUGCUUCUGAACAAACUGGAUCUGAUCUCUGACCUCCUGCUCUCCACAUUUUCAGAUCUGAGAUUUUCUGGAUUUAUCUGAAAUGAUUUUCACUGAAUUAUCCUGAAUUUUUGCAGAAAAUAGUUCAGAACCUUUCAGCAAAGCUUGUUACUAAACCUCCAAGUUUUCACAUGUUUCACUGUUGCUCUGUCAGCUGCACAGCUUCUCUGAAGAAACCUGCAUGAUUAUGGAGGUCCUCCAUACAUGAUGAGCCAACAGAACAUUUAUUUUCCUUUAGACAUGAAUGAUGUUUGAAUUGAAAAGGAACAGAGGGUGUGAUAUAUUAACCUUAACAAAUAAAAACAGCUACAAGUUUACUUGUAUGGUUUACUAAAGAAAAAGCAAAGUGGACAUUUUUUAGUCUUACCACUAGGGGUCAGCAGAAUUAACUUGAUACUAUAAGAAACUUGCAGUGACAAACAUGUAAAAACAAUAUUUUUUUAUUCAUUGUUCAUCUUCACUUCUUACUUGAAUAAAAUCUGGUUGAAUUCA